UAGGGAAUCUUCGGCAAUGGGGGGAACCCUGACCGAGCAACGCCGCGUGAGUGAAGAAGGUUUUCGGAUCGUAAAGCUCUGUUGUUAAGGAAGAACGAGUGUGAGAAUGGAAAGUUCAUGCUGUGACGGUACUUAACCAGAAAGGGACGGCUAACUACGUGCCAGCAGCCGCGGUAAUACGUAGGUCCCGAGCGUUGUCCGGAUUUAUUGGGCGUAAAGCGAGCGCAGGCGGUUAGAAAAGUCUGAAGUGAAAGGCAGUGGCUCAACCGUUGUAGGCUUUGGAAACUGUUUAACUUGAGUGCAGAAGGGGAGAGUGGAAUUCCAUGUGUAGCGGUGAAAUGCGUAGAUAUAUGGAGGAACACCGGUGGCGAAAGCGGCUCUCUGGUCUGUAACUGACGCUGAGGCUCGAAAGCGUGGGGAGCGAACAGGAUUAGAUACCCUGGUAGUCCACGCCGUAAACGAUGAGUGCUAGGUGUUAGGUCCUUUCCGGGACUUAGUGCCGCAGCUAACGCAUUAAGCACUCCGCCUGGGGAGUACGACCGCAAGGUUG
rnacentral:rRNA from 1 species